UACGUAGGGGGCAAGCGUUGUCCGGAAUGAUUGGGCGUAAAGGGCGCGUAGGCGGCUUUAUAAGUCUGAAGUGAAAGUCCUGCUUUCAAGGUGGGAAUUGCUUUGGAUACUGUAGAGCUUGAGUGCAGGAGAGGUAAGUGGAAUUCCCAGUGUAGCGGUGAAAUGCGUAGAGAUUGGGAGGAACACCAGUGGCGAAGGCGACUUACUGGACUGUAACUGACGCUGAGGCGCGAAAGUGUGGGGAGCAAACAGG
rnacentral:rRNA from 1 species